rnacentral:misc_RNA from 1 species
AACGCACCUUGCGCUCCUUGGUAUUCCGAGGAGCAUGCCUGUUUGAGUGUCAUGGUAUUCUCAACCUUUAUAGCUUUUUUUGAGGCAAUAAAGGCUUGGACUUGGAGGUCGUGUCGGCGCAAGUCGACUCCUCUUAAAUGCAUUAGUGUGAACCUUACGGAUCGCCUCCAGUGUGAUAAUUGUCUACGCUGUGGUGUUGAAGUAUAGUCGAGUUCAUGCUUCUAAUUGUCCGCAUGGACACACAAAUUAAAACUUGACAAUCUGACCUCAAAUCAGGUAGGACUACCCGCUGAACUUAA